rnacentral:rRNA from 1 species
ACAUUGCCUUCUGGUUUAAGGGUAGAAGGUAAUUUCUGCCCACUGCAAAUUUAGUAAAGGGCUGCAGUAUUUUGACUGUAUAAAGGUAGCAUAAUCAUUAGCUUUUUAAUUGAGAGCUGGUAUGAAGGGGACACGGGGGAUUUGUGUAUCGAUAAAGAGUAUUGAAUUUUAUAGUUUUGUGAAAAAUCAAAGAUUGGGCUAAGGGACAAGAAGACCCUAUUUAAGUUUUAUUGUUGUUUUAGAAAAAUAUAUAGGAGCAAUUUGAAUUAGUGUAAUUUUUGAACAAUGGUUUGGCUGGGGCGGCGCAUUUAAAAACAAGAUUUUUGGUUUAAUAUAGUUUGGCGUGUUUUGGACCUGAGAGGAUCAAUUAAAUGGAUAAUUACUUUAGGGAUAACAGCGUUAUUAUUUCUGAGAGUUCUAAUUGACGGAGUAGCUUGCGACCUCGAUGUUGGAUUAAGAUUAGCGUUGGUGCAGUAGUCGGCGUGUUUGUCGUCGA